GAUGAACGCUAGCUACAGGCUUAACACAUGCAAGUCGCGGGGCAGCAUGGGGGUUGCUUGCAAUCCCCGAUGGCGACCGGCGCACGGGUGAGUAACGCGUAUCCAACCUGCCCUUCACCACGGGAUAACCCGGCGAAAGUCGGACUAAUACCGUAUGUUGUCCAUUGACGGCAUCCGAUUUGGACGAAAGGCUUAGCGGUGAGGGAUGGGGAUGCGUCCGAUUAGCCAGACGGCGGGGUAACGGCCCACCGUGGCUACGAUCGGUAGGGGUUCUGAGAGGAAGGUCCCCCACACUGGAACUGAGACACGGUCCAGACUCCUACGGGAGGCAGCAGUGAGGAAUAUUGGUCAAUGGGCGUAAGCCUGAACCAGCCAAGUAGCGUGCAGGAUGACGGCCCUAUGGGUUGUAAACUGCUUUUAUGCGGGGAUAAAGUGGCCCACGUGUGGGCUUUUGCAGGUACCGCAUGAAUAAGGACCGGCUAAUUCCGUG
rnacentral:rRNA from 1 species